rnacentral:rRNA from 1 species
GAUGAACGCUGACAGAAUGCCUAACACAUGCAAGUCUACUUGAAUUUGGGUUUUUAACUUAGGUUUGGGUGGCGGACGGGUGAGUAACGCGUAAAGAACUUGCCUCACAGCUAGGGACAACAUUUAGAAAUGAAUGCUAAUACCUAAUAUUAUGAUAAUAGGGCAUCCUAUAAUUAUGAAAGCUAUAUGCGCUGUGAGAGAGCUUUGCGUCCUAUUAGCUAGUUGGUAAGGUAAAGGCUUACCAAGGCGAUGAUAGGUAGCCGGCCUGAGAGGGUGGACGGCCACAAGGGGACUGAGAUACGGCCCUUACUCCUACGGGAGGCAGCAGUGGGGAAUAUUGGACAAUGGAGGAAACUCUGAUCCAGCAAUUCUGUGUGUGUGAAGAAGGUCUUCGGAUUGUAAAACACUUUUAGUUGGGAAGAAACAAAUGACGGUACCAA